GUCAUGCUGGGUGAUGUCCAUAUUUUGAGCCAGGUGGAGUCAUCUGUGGGGAUGGAACAAUCCGAAUUCCAUGCCUUUUGAUCUUGAACGAGUUGGGCGCACUCGCUGGGGUGAACCAAGAUUGGCCUACAAAAUAGGUGGAUGCCAGAGCGAUGAAUUUGCCUCGGAUCACGGCUUUCAAUGCAUCCCAAACUAAAUGUUGUGAGACCCC